rnacentral:lncRNA from 1 species
GCCUGAGUGACAACUGAGUCCCCCUCGGCCCAUCCCUGGAACCAUGAUGAUGGCAGCACUUACGUUACAUUCACUGCUUACUGUAGCUACGCCACACUGACAAGCACCCUACAUACUUCACGGGAUCUCCUGAUGUUCCUGUGAGACAGGUGCUCUCCUCUGAGAUGUGUCUUCAGUGAUGCCACCUUCUCUGCCUCCUGUGCCCUGAAGACUUGCAGCCCGGAUGGUCUCAAUCACACUAUGUGAUAAUGUUGCUUGGGUAAAGUCACUGGAAGUCACUUUGAAAGACUUGUGCCUCAUUGAAAAAGACACAUCUCUGCAUGGUUUUCAUCCAUUUGCUUCAUCUCCAAGACAAGCUUUCUUUUUAAAGGGCAGAAGAGCCCAUUUCCCUGCCACCUGUCAGCGUUUAGCUUGCCACUGUGGCUUAUUACCGCUGCCAUCUGCUGCCAAGGAGAGAUGUGCAUGA